UACAGGGGGGGCAAGCGUUGUUCGGAAUUACUGGGCGUAAAGGGUUCGUAGGCGGCCAACUAAGUCACACGUGAAAUCCCCAGGCUUAACCUGGGAACUGCGUGUGAUACUGGAUGGCUUGAAUCCGGGAGAGGAAUGCGGAAUUCCAGGUGUAGCGGUGAAAUGCGUAGAUAUCUGGAGGAACACCGGUGGCGAAGGCGGCAUUCUGGACCGGCAUUGACGCUGAUGAACGAAAGCCAGGGGAGCAAACGGG
rnacentral:rRNA from 1 species